UUCGUUAUUUUUCAGGUACUGGGAAGCGACUUUUCUCCGAUUCGCAUCGGAGGUCAGACUCAGUUCGUUGUAUCUGCUUUUGACAAACUACGAAAAGCAAAAUAGAAAAAAAUAGCAGUGCAAAUCGAAGAGCAUUAAACAUGGGAGGUAGCGAUGGGAUCUUAGGCAACAGAAGCGUGGAAAGAGGCAAAGCAACUGUGAGCACCGCAAGUAGUAAAUGGCUGAAGCGGCGAGAGACAUGGCUCGUCGUUCUAGGAGUCAUUCUUCACGCUGUUUACAUGAUGAGCAUUUUCGACAUCUACUUCAAGACUCCCAUUGUCCACGGCAUGAAUCCUGUCACGCCUCGCUUCAAGGCUCCUGCCAAGCGCCUCGUGCUCCUCGUUGCUGAUGGUUUGCGUGCUGACAAGUUCUUUGAGCCGGAUUCUGAAGGAAAUUAUAGAGCUCCAUUUUUAAGAAGCAUAAUUAAAGAGCAAGGUCGCUGGGGAGUAUCUCAUGCACGCCCUCCAACAGAGUCGAGGCCUGGACAUGUUGCUAUAAUUGCUGGUUUCUAUGAGGACCCCAGUGCAGUUACAAAAGGAUGGAAAGCUAAUCCAGUUGAGUUUGAUUCAGUAUUUAACCGAAGCCGGCACACAAUUUCUUUUGGCAGCCCUGACAUCGUUCCAAUAUUUUGUGGUGCAGUGCCACAUAGCACAUGGAAUACCUAUCCUCAUGAGUUUGAAGACUUUGCAACUGAUGCAUCCUUUUUGGAUGAGUGGUCUUUGGAUCAAUUUCAGAGCCUUUUGAAUAAGUCCAAUGAAGACUCAAAGUUGAAGGAGUUGCUUCUACAGGAUAAUCUUGUUAUAUUUCUGCACCUACUUGGCUGUGAUUCAAAUGGUCAUGCACAUAGGCCCUUUUCCUCCAUCUAUCUCAAUAAUGUAAAGGUUGUUGACCGUAUAGCCGAAAGGGUUUAUCAUCUAAUGGAAGACUAUUAUAAGGACAACAGUACAGCAUAUAUAUUUACUGCAGAUCAUGGAAUGAGUGACAAAGGAAGCCAUGGAGAUGGGCAUCCUUCAAACACUGAUACCCCCCUUGUUGCUUGGGGAUCUGGUAUUAAAUAUCCCAAACCAAUAUCCAGCACCAACCAUUCUCAUUGCAGUUUUCGUUUUGUGGACGAACAUAUGCAUGACACACCAACACCUAAAGAAUGGGGCCUUGAUGAAAUAGAACGGGUUGAUGUCAAUCAAGCUGAUAUUGCACCGCUCAUGUCCACUCUUGUUGGUUUGCCAUGUCCAGUUAACUCAGUUGGAAGUCUACCCCUUGAUUACAUUGACUUGAUUGAGGUAGAAGAGGUUGAAGCUGUGGUAGCCAAUACAGAGCAAAUUCUUAACCAGUUCCUUCGCAAGUCAUAUAUAAAGCAGUCAAAUUCAUUACAUUUCAAGCCUUUCAAACCAUUGGCCAAUUAUUCCUCUAUGUUGGUCAAAAUUGAGGACCUAAUUUCUGUAAGAGAAUAUGAAGCUGCUCUGAAGCUAUCUGAAAAUCUCAGAAGCUUGGCGCUUCAAGGGCUUCAUUAUUUUCAAACUUAUGAUUGGCUGAUGCUUAUGACUGUAAUUACUCUUGGUUAUGUUGGUUGGAUGAUCUAUCUUGUCCUCCACAUCCUGCAAUCUUAUACUUCACUGCCAGGAAAUAUGUUGAGGAAGGAGCAAGCAGUUCGCCAGAGAAAUUAUACUGGAAAGGUAUACCUAUGUGGAUGUCUUUUCAUGGGAGUACUUUCUAUUGUACUGUUUCUGGAGCACUCCCCUCCCCUUUACCAUGCCUAUACUACAAUGACAGUAUUUCUCUGGACACAAAUAAUCAGUGAAUAUUGGUUCAUAAAAGCAUUAUGGAAGCACUUACAUGGAAGAAAAUUCAAUUACAUCAUCAAACUUCUAGCCACUACUGCUGUAUCAGUAUUCAUUCUUGAAUUCCUGGUGAAUAGCUUCACUGACAGGAAUCUCUACACUUGGUGCUUCCUGAUCAUUGGGCCCACAGCUUCUCUUUAUCUUUUUAACUCAAUUCCAUGGCGAUCUGGCAUACCUAUUUUUGUUUGCAUGGCGUGUUGGUUUUUGUCUGUGUUUACUUUGAUGCCAGCAGAAAUUCCCGAUAAUAAUCAAUUAGUAAUCGUGAGUGGAGUUAUGAUUAUCUUGAUAGGAGUAGUUGCAAGGUGGCUAGAUCUGCAUGCUGAAGGGAAGUACUGGCGGAGCAUCUCUAAACAUGAAGUGAAGAAACCCAAGUUUCCCAUGCUCUUUCAGUUACAGGCUCUUUUGGUUGGUUUAUCUUCAGUGAUGGUGUCGUUAUCAACAUCUCACAGAACACAGAAGCAAGAACUGCUUGCAUUACACCAGUUGAUUAAUUGGUCUAUAGCUGGUUUUUCGAUGGUUCUCCCGUUAUUUUCAGCAAAUGGCCUCUUGUCCCGGCUUACUUCUAUAUUUCUAGGUUUUGCACCCACGUUCCUUCUUCUAUCUAUUGGAUAUGAAGCUGUCUUUUAUGGUGCUUUUGCUCUUGUACUAAUGGCAUGGAUACUAUUUGAAAACACAGUUUCAUACUUAAGUAAGGAUAAAAAAUCAUCAGCUUCCACCAAAAAUGCAGACGCAAAUGUCAUUUUUGAACAUGACGAGAGAUGCUUGCAGCUGUCUGAUGCGAGAAUUCCUUUAAUCUUUAUGGUGUUAUUCAACAUUGCCUUCUUUGGAACGGGAAAUUUUGCAAGUAUUGCUAGUUUUGAGAUUUCAUCUGUCUAUCGAUUCAUUACUGUCUUCAGUCCCUUUCUGAUGGCAGCCCUACUUAUAUUCAAGCUAUUUAUACCAUUCAUGCUUGUCAUAUGUGUAUUCAGUGCUAUAACCAAACUACACCGACUUCCACGUUUGGGAUGCUAUUUUCUUGUUAUAUUAUUUUCCGAUGUAAUGACCAUUCACUUCUUCUUCCUGGUUCAGAACACAGGAAGUUGGAUGGAAAUUGGUAACAGCAUCAGCCAUUUUGGAAUCAUGAGUGCCCAAGUUGUGUUUGUGCUGUUCCUGUUUGCCCUCACUAAUAUAUACACAAAAGGUAUUGAGUGCAAUUCUGCGCUGAUAACUUCUCAGAAAGUGAUGUAAGCCAACGCCAAAUUGGGAUAUUUGGCAUCGACAUGGGCUGCCUGCUGUUCUUAAAGUUUUGAAGAUAUAAAUCGGAACCACAUCUCUACCGGUCACUGAUCGAUGUAGAUUGUCAGCAGGGCAACACUUACAGCCACUGUAAGUUCCUGAUAUUCACUUGUAGUAGCUGGCGAAAAUCAUAAGUUGUCAUAAUCUUUCAUGUGGAUCUCAUAGCAAGGAUAAGUGAAACCAACCUUACGAACCUUAACCAAAAAAGAAAAAUAGAAAAGUCAUAAUGUGGAGGUUCAGUCUUUGGUGCUUUGAAACUGGUGGAGGCUUCGUAUUACAACCCAUUUCAGAUCGUGGCUUAAAAAUUUAGUUUCAGUUAUUUCUUUGAUCCAACCUUUAACCUAAAUAGAUUUGGUUAGGGGAGGAUAGUAGCUUGGAGAACCCACGAAAAAUUUAGAGACGUCAGGUCAGGACUUCCUGUGCGUUUGGUCAUUUUGAUUUUAGGGCGCAGCAUUGACUCUGUUGGAGUUGGAAAUAGCUUUUCCAACUUUCAUCUCUGUCAGCAUUAGAAGAGUCGAAAAACCUCUGACUCUACUACUUCUAACGGAGGUGAUUUUCAGUCCAACUAUGUCCUUGAAAUUGUAGAGUUGGAGGCGAUCGAAAUAGUCGAAAAUAGUCAUCGAAUAUGAAGAAAAGAUCUUCGUCUUUGAAGAAUAACGAAUAAGUCU